rnacentral:lncRNA from 1 species
CUUAGAUUGAUGCCCCUAACUGGUAUUUGGCUGGUUUUCAAGCUCUUUUAUAUUGAUUUAUCAAAGUAGGUCCAAUUGGUAGGUUAGGAACCAUUUUAAAAUAGUUACCUGACCCCUAAAAGACAAAACACAUUUGAUUUUAACAAGCAUAAUUUAAGAAUUUAAGCUUCUUUUCUGAAAAGCUUAGGUUAGCAUUCAAUUAGUAAUCUUGACCUCAAUAGUUGUGUUAAAAUAUC